UAAGCAUAUCAAUAAGCGGAGGAAAAGAAAAUAACAAUGAUUCCCCUAGUAACGGCGAGUGAACAGGGAAAAGCUCAAAGUUGGAACCUCCUGGUCCUAGAUUAGGCGGAUUGUAAACUAAAGCUCUUGGGUAGUACGGUUGGCCUGAUAAAAAAGUUCUCUGGAAAGAGGCGACAUAGAGGGUGAUAUCCCCGUCUUUGGUCAGAGCUCAAUCAUGCGUUUGCCCUUUAGCGAAGAGUCAGGUUGUUUGGGAAUGCAGCCUAAAAUGGGAGGUAAAUCUCUCCUAAAGCUAAAUAUUGACGAAAGACCGAUAGCGAACAAGUACCGUGAGGGAAAGAUGAAAAGCACUUUGAAAAGAGGGUCAAAAAGUACGUGAAAUUGCUGAAAGGGAACCGUAUGAAAUCAGUCUGAUGUGUUGGUAAUCAAUCUGGAUCUCGAUCUGGAUGCACUUGCCGAUGUAUUAGCCUGCGACAGUUUGAUCUGGAGGAAAAAAGAUGGGAGAAUGUGGCCUUGGCUUCGGUUAAGGUGUUAUAGCUCCUGUCAAAAUACUUUGGAUUGGACUGAGGACUGCAGCGAGCCGCAAGGUAAAGGUCUCGGGCGCUUGUUCUGGCUAUGUAAGAAAUCUCUGCUUCGGGUGGUAUCUUGCCUAAUCGGGACAACACGCUUGUUUCUCUUUUUUCUCGCU
rnacentral:rRNA from 1 species